CUACGUGCCAGCAGCCGCGGUAAUACGUAGGUCCCGAGCGUUGUCCGGAUUUAUUGGGCGUAAAGCGAGCGCAGGCGGUUAGAUAAGUCUGAAGUUAAAGGCUGUGGCUUAACCAUAGUACGCUUUGGAAACUGUUUAACUUGAGUGCAAGAGGGGAGAGUGGAAUUCCAUGUGUAGCGGUGAAAUGCGUAGAUAUAUGGAGGAACACCGGUGGCGAAAGCGGCUCUCUGGCUUGUAACUGACGCUGAGGCUCGAAAGCGUGGGGAACAAACAGGAUUAGAUACCCUGGUAGUCCACGCCGUAAACGAUGAGUGCUAGGUGUUAGACCCUUUCCGGGGUUUAGUGCCGUAGCUAACGCAUUAAGCACUCCGCCUGGGGAGUACGACCGCAAGGUUGAAACUCAAAGGAAUUGACGGGGGCCCGCACAAGCGGUGGAGCAUGUGGUUUAAUUCGAAGCAACGCGAAGAACCUUACCAGGUCUUGACAUCCCUCUGACCGCUCUAGAGAUAG
rnacentral:rRNA from 1 species